rnacentral:lncRNA from 1 species
CUGGAUUUCCAAUACUUGGGUUUUUGCUGCAGUCAGUUCCACCUGAGCAGUUAAAUAUGGACACACUGUCUGCUUUAAAACAUUUGUUUAAUGUGGUUGCAAAUGGUGGUAUGUCGCACAAGCUACUUGUGUGUUCUUUUUUGUUGUCUUUGAGUUCAUUAAUUACUUAAUCUCCAACUUUCAGUUUGACGCAGUUUGCCAAAUCUUUGGUUAUGUAUCUCUCUUUAAUUUAUUGCCAGGUUUGUCAGAAAUGCUAGUCAAGGAUGCUAUAUCCCAUAUAUUUCUCAAUCCUGUUGUAUGGGUCUACUCAGUUUACAGAGUUCAACGUGAACUGUAUAUGUUUCUCAUCCAGCAAUUCGAUAAUGAUCCAAGGUUGCUGAGAUGUUUAUGUAGGCUCCCCCGUGUUCUUGACAUAAUUCGACAAUUUUACUGGGAUGAUGUCAAAACUCGUUUUGCUAUUGGAUGUUUAUGUAGGCUCCCCCAAUUUUACUGGGAUGAUGUCAAAACUCGUUUUGCUAUUGGAAGGAAGCCUCUUUUACAUCCCGUGACAAAGCAAGUUAUAGGGGAGAGACCUAGUAAAGAUGAAAUACAUAAAAUUCGUCUCCUUCUAUUGAGUCUCGGUGAGAUGAGUCUCAGGUAGUUUUCUUUUUCUUAGAAAGGAUAUAAUUUUUCUUCUUUUGACUGUUGUAGUGACUGAGUUUUCUUCUUUACUAUGUAAGCUUUCUAGCUCCUGUUCAGCUUUCAUAUUUUUUUUUUUCAGAAAUAGAACUAUUUCUUUUUAUCCACCACCGUUUGAAGAUGUUUUCCUACCAUUUUUUUUAUGCAGGCAGCAUAUUUCAGCAUCAGAUAUAAAAUCUCUCAUAGCCUUUUUUGAAAGUAGCCAGGACAUGGCAUGCAUUGAAGAUGUUCUGCAUAUGGUUAUUCGGGCUGUUUCUCAGAAACAACUGCUUGCAUCUUUCCUUGAACAAGUCAAUAUGAUUGGUGGUUGUCACAUAUUUGUAAAUCUUCUUGAAAGGUACGACCACUAACUGUAGAAACACAUAUUCCAGUUAUCAUAAUUGUCAUAAAUUUUAUUGAAAGGUAUGACAUCAAAUUGUAGAAAUAGUUGAUAUUAUUAAUGUCAAAUAGUUGAUAUUUAUUUUUGAAGAUAUCCCUUGAAGUCACUAUCUGUUGAGAGAGAGAAUCUGCAGGUAGUUUUCUCUUUUUUACCUCAUGGUUAAAGCUGAUUUUCUAUUACCUAUCUCUGAUAUUGCUCUUAUACAUACCUCUUGUUUCUCUUGACACUGAUUCUCAUACAGUCUGUUGCAACCUUCUUUAGUCAUGUUAUAUCUGCAAUAGGAAGAAACACAGCUGGUCCAGGUUAGUUUAACUCCUUUGUCAUAUAAGUACAACUAAAUUUACCUUUCAGAUGCUCAGAGUAUUGUUGAAAAUUUUCAGGGGAUGCUGUUGUCAAUGUCUAUAUAAACUAUGAAAAGAAGUUUGUUUUUGUUGAAAUGAGAUCAGUAGAGGAAGCUAGUAAUGCCAUGGCAUUGGAUGGCAUCAUAUUUGAGGUACCUAAAAUGUGUAAUAGCUGAUCAGUUAGCUACGAUUUAAAGAAGAUAGAAUUUUUACAUUAGAUGGCAUCAUAUUUGAGGUACCUAAAAUGCAUAAUAGCUGAUCAGCUAGUUACGAUUUAAAGAAGAUAGAUUUUUUACCUCUUGUGUAGGUGGUUUAUCCAUUUGACAGAAAGCAAGGUGUAGCAAAUUAUAGUUUUAGAAAGCAACUAGCUGAUCCCACAUAAUUUGAAUUUGUAAUGUUGUCACUAUGGUUAUUUUUUUAUGAGAUUUGAUUUGUUGCGGUGGAAAUAAACUGCCAUUAUUUUUUUAAAUAUUAAUAUCAUAUUGCGGUGGUUAUAAACCCCCACAUAUUUUUUUUUAUAUAUUUGAGUGAUAUCGUAGGGGUUUAAAAACACUCUCAAUUUUUUUUGAACCAUUAUAAUCAUAGGGGUUUAUAAACCACCACAGUAUUUUUUUUUUGACAUCUUGAAAUCAUAUUACGGGGAUUCUAAGCUGCCACUAAUUAUCUUCAAGAACUCCCACAAGUUCAAAAUUCAUUUUGUGGCGUUUUAUAAACCCUCGCAAUAUUUUUUUUCUUUGGCACAUCAAAAUCAUAUUGCGAGAGUUUUAGACUAGCAUUAAUUAUCUUUUAAACCCCUACAAAUUAAAAAUACAUUUUGUGGCGGUUGUCAUGGAGGUUUUAAAAAUCCGCCACAAUAAUGCUUGUGGCAAAGGUAACUGCGGCACUUCUAGAAACCGUCACAAUUCUAUUUGUGCCAGUCAAAAACUGUCACAAUUUGACCAAAAAACUCCUACAAAAUACUUGUCUUCUUGUAGUGCCUUGUUCACUGCUUUCCUCCCCAUCUCUCUUGUAUUUCUUCUUCUAUUUCUUCUCUUUCGCUCUCCUAGUGUAGCAAAAGUUCUUGCAGAUUUUGCAAAAGAAUCAGUGGGAUGAAAAGAUAAGGUUGAUCUCAUAUCACAGAAAAUCAGAAGCAAAUACUAAGAGAGAAAAAAUACAUUUCAACUUUAUUUUUCUUCUCUGUUUUUUGUUGGUUGGAUUGAAUGAGCUGGUAUGAUUGAAAUUGGUUGAAAAUAUCUAAACUAGCAUAUGUACAAGAUUUGAGCAAGAUUAGAAGCGAUUUAGACUUGUUUUAGGUUAAAAAUCAGGCCUAAAAAUCUACUACGACAUGUAUACAUCAUGUUGUAUAUCGUGUACAUUAAUGUAUAUCACACAUAGGUUUUUAAGGACGUCUGUAUAUAUCACUUUGUAUGUCGUAUAUAUAACAUAAUUUUUUUACGGACGCCCAUGUAUAUCAUAUUGUAUAACAUAUAUAUAAUAUAAAUUUUUAUGGAUAUAUGCAGAUACGCAUGAUAUACAUGAGAUAUACUGAUGUACAUAGAGAUAUAUACGGAAUAUAAUUACCAAAAAAGAAGAAGAUCUACACGGGAUACAAUAGGGGAUACACAUGUGGAGUCGUCUUGAACUUGAGUUUUAAUCUGAAAUGUGUUAUACAAAGAAGGAAAAUAAAAUUUUAAUAUUUAUUUGACAUUAUUAUUAUUAUUAUUAUUAUUAUUAUUAUUAUUAUUAUUAUUAUUAUUAUUAUUAUAUACUCUGUGAUAUAUGUCACACCCCUUUUUUGAACAGAACCUCUACUAAACCCUCUUAAAAUAAAUAAAAGAGAUUUAGCAUGGCUUGAAAAGGGUUUUUAAUUUUGAAAGUGACAAAAAUUUGUUCAAAAGGAAAUAACUCAGAGUCGCCACCUGGCACUUGAUUUCGAUGUGCCAGGUCACCAUUUUUUUUUCACAACAUAAUUUUCCUUUUAAAACUCUUAGGACUCCAAAGUAAGUCUGCACCAGAAAUUCGGGUAAGGGGAUUCAUUUGACUCGGGGAGAAGGUGUUAGGCACUCCCCAAGACCUGUGAAAGUCACGGUUAUGUACUUGAUCUAGUUUGCUUUUAAAAUAUUUAAUUGAGGUAACAAACAUAGAAAAGGAAAAAUAAACACAGAAGAGGCUCAAGGUCGUCCCUUCCUAAAAGAACAAAAUAAAUAAAAUAUAGUAAGUCUUCAUAGCUUAUACUACGCCUUCAUUGAUGAUGCCAAGAUUCCAUUUACAUUUACUUCGGGGCAUUCCCCGGGUUAACAUAUUUACAAAGUCCACGGAGCAUUCCCUGGAUGAAUUAUCUAAGGGACAACCUCUCACCUCGAAACCAAAAGCAAAUGAAAAUCCUAAAGCUUGCCUAUCUGAGUGUUGCCGGCCUAAAACAUACUCCUAACGAUCCAAACACACCGUAUGCAUGAAUUAAUAACUAAAAGAAGUGUAUUCUAAAUUGAAGUAUGAUUGAAAUUAUCCUCCUGCCGGCAUGGAAGCUCAUUUUAUUUUGUACUUCCUUCUUUUAAAUUUCUAGCCUACUAUUACAUAACUCAUUCAUCUACUUAUGUAUCUAAUUAAAAUUAAAAGAUCCUACUGUGUUCACUUGAACCAUUUAGCCUAUUCAAAAAUAUGAAAUCAACAGGUAUAAAAAGAUAACAUAGACCUUCGGGUAUAAAAGCAGUUCAAGCAUUAAGAGUAAUUAAAGCAAACAUAGAAUUAGAAACUUUGCUAAGAUGAUCAAUUAAAGAAAUAUCAAAUCAUAUAGAAGAAGCAGAGAUGAAGGGAGAACCUGAAUUGAAGGAUUUGUUUUACUAUUUUAAAACCCAACGACGAGCGGAACCGGAAUCGAAAGAUGCUUGCCGGAACUCGACGAACCUCGGACCUCAGACGACACUCCGAAUCAAGCUGAAAUAGCAGUCGGAUUCAAACAGACUCUGUUGUUUGAAGCAAAAAAAAAUGAACGAAGAAACUGAAAUGUUUUCUGUCUUCCUCAUUUUCUACUUGUGCUUGCAUGUGUGUGUUCCCGUGUAUUUAUGUGCACAUGUGUGUAACUGAUAGUUUUAGAGAGAUAAAAUUGGGGCGCCUGGAUGGUGAUGAUAGCUGUUGGUGGUUACCGAAGGGUCUGUCGGUUUGAUGGUGUGAAGAAGAUGAAGAACGGCGCUGGAGUGAGUUCUUUUGUUGAUGAAGAUGGCUGCUUAGGGGUGAGGGUGUUAAUGCGACUGUUGUUGGUUGUUUGUGUAUGGAGGUGGUUGAAUUCCGGUGUGACGGCCCGAGAUAGGCGGCUGGAGAUGGCGAAGAUGACUGGCGCCUGGAAGCGGCGGCUAUGGCAGUGAGAGUGGGUCUCGCGGCGGCGACUUAGGGUGUAACUUGUCUAGGUUUCGGCCUAGGGUUUUGUUGUUGUUGAAGGUUGAAGAAGAUAGGGCAGCCAUGGUUCUUGUGUCUCAGGUUUCUUGUUAAGUUUCCCUAGGUUUUUUUAAAAUAAAAUCUGAUGGGUUCUUUUUGUUAGGGGUAUGGACUUAUGGGUUAGAGAAGAGAAAUAAUUGGGCCUUAGUAUUGGGCUAAGAGAAAUAAA